AUUAAUUGNNUUUAAAGCCCUUUAUUGAGCCGGGUAGGUUUAAAAUAAAUUAUUUUUACGUUGUGAUAAAUUAUUCGGUUAUACUUAUAUCUGUUUAACAACUUUACAUACUAUAUUAGUAUUUAGGCAAAGAUGUCUAGAUAAAUUAAAUAUCAUCAUUAUUUUGUUACAAUUAAAGGGUUAAAGUUACCCACUACUUAUAAUUGUGUUAUAACUUUAUUUAUUAGUUUAUACAUGAUUUUAUUAAUAAGUUGUUAUUUUUAAUUUUUAGUGUUUUAUUAUGAUUAUAUAAGUAAUAUUAGUACAAUCUGUGUGUCUCGUUAGCUGCCUGUCUGUUUAUUAAAAACAUUUCCACACGAAAUUUUGUGAGGUAGUACCUGCUCUAUGCGUUUUGUAAAUGGCCGCAGUAUCUUGACUGUGCGAAGGUAGCAUAAUUAAUUGCCUUAUAAUUGAAGGCUUGUUUUGAAUGGUUUGACAAGGUAGUUUAUGACAUGGUUUGUGUUUUUGAACUUAAUUAUGGGGGCACAGAAUCCCCUUAAAA
rnacentral:rRNA from 1 species